CUCUCUCUCUCUCUCUCUCUCUCUCUCUCUCUCUCUCUCUCUCUCUCUCUCUCUCUCUCUACACCACUUUAUAUCACUUGGAAGGAAAAGGUGGGCGAGGAGAAGCCUUCUACUGUGCUAUCGUAUUUCUUCCUUCAGUCAUCAGUGUAAAGCAAGGUAACCCAACAACUUCCCCCAACAUAAAAGACUCCAGCGUCAUAAUAUUGCUUAUCUUUUAUCUUUGUACUUUACACAGGAGUUGCAAAAAGGAUGAAAAAUAGAGAAAAAAAUAUAUAUCCUUGAAUUGUGUACAGGGAAAAAAAAUCUAAUAUCGUAAGACCUAAGAAAAAAAAAUUGAAAGGUACCUGAACAUUCUCGUAACUUGGUUGUUAUAUACGCAGUUGAGGAAGCAAAAAGUUGGCCACCUGCAUUAUAUAAGAAGCUUGUUUGUCUCGUCUGAGGCUCGAAAGGUGCAAGACUCCGUGUUGUAUGAACUGCGUGUUAGCCUGCUCAGUUGGCAAGGUGUACUGAGAGGACAGGUGAAUAGUUAGUUACCUGUGUGCUAACAAUUCGUGUCUAAUGAUGUUGAGAAAUAAAAUAUAUAAUAAAAUGUUCAUAUAUCUUCAGUGCGUUUUACCUGGCAGUCAAGUAUACAGGUGUGUUUAAAAGAUACAUGAUAAAAUCUGAAUUUGCUGAAAACUUCCGUCUCGUCUUGGUAAUAAGGAAAGGAAUGAAAGAUACAGAAUGCCUACCUGUGUGUUAUGUAUGGUAUUAUGUGUUAUGCAGGAGUAUAGGUGUGCUGCUGAGAAAAGUGAAAAAUUAGCUUCUGGAAUUAUGUCAAAAAGAAAGCUAUCUUAUUUUGACGCUAGAAAAGGGGUGAAAGAUACAAAAUACUUCCAUAUCUAAAGAAUACUGUACCUGUAUGACUAUUUUACUUUAUUUAUUUAUUUUUUUUUUUAUGUAAGAUGCGCGCCGGCCUAGAGCUGCAGGGAGGUUAUGUAAGAAAGGUCCACAGAAGCAUCAGUCCCCGAAGGAAAAGACCCAAAAGGGAUAUUUUAAGACCAAAAAGGAUUGUCCAAAAUGAGUCUAAUUCAUUCCCAAGACAUGCAUAGACAGUGAGGAGUAAGUUACCUGAAGUUUGAAAAAAAAAAUUAAAAAAAGAUAAUAGAUAAAUAAAUGACUUGUUUGUCCUGCUGAGAGAGGAAAAAAAAUAUAUAUAGUAGUAGAAUUGAAAGUCAAAUUUGAUAUCUGCAUGAUUGGCGUGUUACCUGCACAACUGCCAAGGUGUGUUUAGUGGACAGGUGGGAGAAAUGAUGUACCUGAAUUAUUUAAGGAAAGGAGUUUGGUUGUCUUGUCUUCUUAAACAAAACAAAAAAAAGAAAAAGAAAGUAGAAAAUAUAUUUAUACAAAGGGCGUGUUACCUGUACGGUUACAAAGGGGUGCAGCGGACAGGUGGAAAGAACCGUGUACCAGAAAAUUGUCGGAGAAAAAAUGUUUUGUAUUGAUGCUGAAAAAAAAAAAAAAAAUACUGGAAUAGAAAAAAAAACAUUCUUCUCAUAUUAAUGUUGAAAAAAGUCUGAAAUGGUUGAAAAAUAUUCCCUCAUAGCCUCGAUUAACCUGGAUGAGACACACCUGUGAAGAGCAAAGGUGGUGAAGUGCGUGCAGCAGGCAGGUGAAAAACAGGUGACCAUGAUUACGUUAACAGCGAGCGUGGGUGUGCACUUUGAUGCCUGAUGCGGAUGGGACGAGUGGGCCGAGAUAGGCGAAUGAGAUGAGGCGAAAUGAGACAACUGAGACGAAAUGACACAAAUAAGUGAGACAUAACAAGACGAGUGAUCAGAGUGAGAAAAACUGAGACCAGUCAUACAAAUUAAGUCGAGGAAGAUAAACGAGACGAGUGGUUCAGGUCAGCCGAAAUGAGAUAGGCGUGUUACCAAGCAAGACACGUGUACAGUAGAUGACAAGGCGUGCAGGAAUAGUAGGUGGGAGAAGAGAACUUGAAGCUUAAUUGCGUAACACAGGUAUGGGAAGGUGAACAGGUGGCAGUCAGGUGUGGGCAGGUGGUAGGUGAGGGAGCUUGUCUUAUAUAAGGGGCAGGAGAGGUGGGAGUUGGGACGUGUGCUGGGGUUGGCUGGGGACUGGAAGGGAUAAGUGUGUAAUGCUUGGGGAGGUGAUGUGAAUUGAUGGGUGAACUUAACGUAACCUAACUUAGAAUUUGGGAUUAAUUAGUAUGUAAAGAUGAGCUAAUCUAACUUGGAAAUGGAGAUAAUGUGAUAUGAAUAGAUAAUAAACCUAACCUAACUUAACCUAAUCAAAUUUAACUUAACCUAACAGAUAAUUGGAAGAGAGAGAAGAAAGAAGGAAUAUUUGCGGGGAAAAGAGGAAAAUUCAUGUGCGUGAAUGAAGGAGGAGUAAAUAGCUGGAGGAGAGAAGGUAUAAAAGGAAGGAAAAAAAGGUGAAAAUGAAUGAAGGAAAAAGCAAUAGGGAAGGAAAGAAAAAAAUGAUAGAGAAAUAUUAAGAGGUGAAGAUGAAGACGAAGAAGAAAAAAACAAAUGAAAGGGAGAAGAGGAAGGUGAAUAAACACGUAGAGAAGAAAAUGCCUUGAUGAAGAAAAGAAGAAAGAAACUUGUGAAAAAAAUAAAAGACAAUUACCGAAAAAAGACGAUAGGAAACGAAAGAGAAGUAAGAAUAUAAGCGAUAAUUAAUGAUAGGAAGAAGAAUAAGAAAAGAAA